GUUAAGAUACCCACACACGCAGAGCGUGUAACACCUCAGGCAUACAGGAUUAUCCCCUCUCCCGGCCAUCUCAUUAUCCACAUAUAUACUUGAGCUCUAUGAAUUGUAUUCAUUCGUACUCAGUCUACUGAAGCGUCCAGUCCGUAAUAAACCUUGUUCUCCAUAAGAUUGCCUCUCCCGCGUUUCAUUUUCCUAACAAUAUAAUUAAUUAAAUAAUUAAUCAUAUAAUAAAUUCUAUUAGCGUAUUCGUAGCUACUGAAUUUCUGCUCGCGCAAAAAAUGCCCCGUGGUUCCUGCGCUCCAGGUCCUUGACCUGGUGACUUUUGACCUUCAAGACUAAUUUUCCGUAGUUCUGGCUGUCCAGGUCCAUGACCUGAUGACUUUUGACCUUCCGGACUAAUUUUCAAGUUUACAAAUUAUAUUAUUGAAAACGUAAUGUUUUGUGCUAUCAAACCAAUAUGCGUGCUUCAGAUAACAUUUUGAAUCGGAAAAAAAAUCGAACGACCAGGAUCAACAAAUUGCAAUUGAUAGAAAUUACGCACUUCAUCUUUCCUGCCAAUUCGAGAUUCUAGCGGCGAGGCGCUUCAAUGGCCGGCUAAUACCUUCGCCAUUUUGCGACAAUUUAUAAUGAGUACAUUUUUCUUGUACUGUCCGAAUGUGUUUUAAUAUACACUCGAAAUUUUAAAAAGCAUCGUUAGUUAUCUCCCGUUGGAAAAAAUAACCAACAAUCAACGUUUCGCUUAAAAAUUAUGCUAUGCUGCUAUUUCUGCACAAUUUCGAGGUGUAACCCGAGGUGGUUGGAGAUGGUUAAGCGUGGUUAGUGGUGGUCAGGGUGAACGGGAGGGAGGACGAGGAAGACGAGGAGAACAAGGGGGACAAGGAGGACGAGGAUUUGUGCUCGGCAUAACCCGAGGUGAUUAUCGGUGGUUGUUGGAGGUGGUUGGCGGUGGUUAAAGGUGGUCGGAGGUGGACGAGGAGGAGGACGAGGAAGACGAGGAAAACAAGGUGGACGAGGAGGACGAGGAUUUG
rnacentral:lncRNA from 1 species